GCCCGCGCCUCUCCCUCCACACUUCGCCGCAAGCAGAGGGAGCCGGCUCCGGCCUCAGCUGGCCCAGAGAGGGGCUCCCUCAGUGCAGUGGCGAGCUGAAGGGCUCCUCAAGGGCGGCUGGAGUGGACGCUGAGGCCGAGGAGACGCCAAGAGCAAACGAGGGCUGCUAGUACAUUGUCACCUCUCACUGGUAACUACAGUUGCUGUCAGUUUAACUGAUGCAAGAGAAGAUAAGGAAGACAAGAUCUCAACCACUUUCAGCAAAGCUUUGCGGAGAAUGCAACAUCCUUCAAGACACCAUGAAGCUCCACGCAUCUGGUCAUCUUGUUUCUUCAGGGAAUAAAUUUAUUGUUCUCUGCUUCAGGGCAGGCACACUUGGCCAGUAAAGAAAAUCCCCCCAGCAGAGAAUUGCAGAUACUCACAGCAAGAAGCCUUUCUUGUGAAUGGAGGAUGGAUGUGGAGCUGGUCCGAGCAGUCUGCCUACUGCAUCUGCUAUGACACCCAGCAAACUGGAAGGGAAAAGCAGUUACAAAGUUUCCAACCAGCACAAAUUCCAUAGUCAGGUUUUCCACAUGUGGGGAAAUGACAGGGGUCAGCACAUCCAACGUGCAAUGGACAAGCCUUGCACUGGGUAAACCACGUUCAUGGUCAUGGAAUCUCAUUUACCAGGCUCCACUGAAAUGAAUGAAACCUGAAAUGGUAGAGAAAACUGCAUAGAAGAGGUGAGAUUUGAUCUGGGGCCUGAUGGAAGAGGCAAGAUUGGAGAGGAUAAAGGGUUGAGUGGAUAACAUAAGUCACAGCACAGAAAUGAGAAUAUGCUCAGUUUUGCAGAGAAGCAAUGCCUAACUAGAGUACAAGUGCAUAUUGAAGCCAUGGGAAAUUAUACUGGGUGAAGAUGGUGGAUAAAGAGAUGUCAGAGGAGUGUAAACAUGAAGCAGCAGAACAUAGGGAAUGGCUGAGCACAGGGAAUAAAAGAAUUAAAAUUGGGUUUGGAGAGAUUAGUUGGUCAAGGUUAUGCAAGACACACUGGAAGGGUGGAGACUGGCAUCAAGCCAGUUAACUAGGGCAUUGCUGUAGUGUUCCUUCCAUGAGACAGCAAGGACUUGGGCCAGGACAUGUGUGUCAGUGCAUAUGGUGAGACAGGAUGAAAGCUUUUCAAGGAAGAAAAAUACCUGGCUUGAGCAUGCUGGGCUAGAGAUGAUGGUAGGACUUCUUGUCUAGCAGGAGUUUGAAGGUAUGAGGCUGGAGCUUAGGGGAGAGGGCAGCAGGGAGAAACAGACUGACACAGAAGGGAGAGCCAAUGGCAUAGAAGUUACAACUGAAACUGAGAAUGGAAGAGAUUUCAGAAAGAAAGAAUGUGAAGGGAAGGACAGAGAAAUGUGAGUUGGGAAGCACCCACAUUUAGGACAUAGGAUGAGUAAGAUGAGCAAGCGCAAGAGGGAACACCCGGUCUGGAGUGUGAGACUCAGAGUGUGGCCAGAGAACCAAGGGAGCAGAGUGCUAAGGAGGAGGAUGUCACCACUAGGGCAGGAAGAAGCUGGAUGAUCCAGAAGGUGAGGUCCUUUAGGAGAAGAGUUUCAAUGGCAAUCUGGGACUGGAAACGGGAUCACAUGGAUGAAGGAGGAGCAGCAAGGCGAUGGGCCAGUGGUCACAUCAAAUAGUGAAGCAGUUAUGAUGACAGGCUCUGAUGGUCACAGUACCUGAAUCCUGGUUCCACCCAAACUGUACAACUUAACGAGUAGAAGUGUAUCUAAGUCCCAGUGCACUGGGUUGAAUAUGGUCCCCCAAAUUCAUGUCCUUCCCAGAUCAGAAUGUGACCUUCUUUCGCAGUAGGGUCAUUACAGACAUAACUAGUUAAAAUGAGGUUAUAAUGGAGAAGGGUGGCUCCAUAAUCCAAUAUGACUGGUGUCCUUAUAAGAAGAGGAGAGAGACACAGAGAGAGACAUGCACAGGGAAGACACCCAGCGUGAUGACAGAGGUAGAGACUGAGGUUAUGCAGUUGCAAGCCAAGGAACGCUAAGGACUGCCGGCAACACCAGAAACUAAGAAAAAGGCACAGAACAGAGUCUCCCUUGAGGCUUCAGAAGGGGCUUGCCAACACCUUGAUUUUGGACUACCAGCCUCUAGGUCUAUGAGAAAAUAAAUUUCUGCUAUUGUAAGCCA